rnacentral:piRNA from 1 species
CUUCAUUUUUCAUCAUUAUUAUUUGAAGCCC